rnacentral:rRNA from 1 species
AGAGACAGCAGUAGCCGCGGGAAUACGGAGGGUGCAAGCGUUAUCCGGAUUUAUUGGGUUUAAAGGGUCCGUAGGCGGAUCUGUAAGUCAGUGGUGAAAUCUCACAGCUUAACUGUGAAACUGCCAUUGAUACUGCAGGUCUUGAGUAAAUUUGAAGUGGCUGGAAUAAGUAGUGUAGCGGUGAAAUGCAUAGAUAUUACUUAGAACACCAAUUGCGAAGGCAGGUCACUAAGAUUUAACUGACGCUGAUGGACGAAAGCGUGGGGAGCGAACAGGAUUAGAGACCCCAGUAGUCCCUGUCUCUUAUAC